AGUUAAUGAACUUGAAUAAGUAUAUACUUUGAAAGUAUAAAAAAGGAGGACAAACUCCUAUUAACUU
rnacentral:tRNA from 1 species